CGAACGGGUGAGUAACACGUGGAUAACCUACCUAUAAGACUGGGAUAACUUCGGGAAACCGGAGCUAAUACCGGAUAAUAUUUUGAACCGCAUGGUCCAAAAGUAAAAGACGGUCUUGCUGUCACUUAUAGAUGGAUCCGCGCUGCAUUAGCUAGUUGGUAAGGUAACGGCUUACCAAGGCAACGAUGCAUAGCCGACCUGAGAGGGUGAUCGGCCACACUGGAACUGAGACACGGUCCAG
rnacentral:rRNA from 1 species